UACGUAGGGCGCAAGCGUUAUCCGGAAUCACUGGGCGUAAAGGGCGCGUAGGCGGCCGAUCAAGUCAGAGGUGAAAGCCCAAGGCUCAACCUUGGAAUUGCCUUUGAUACUGUUCGGCUCGAGACCGGAAGAGGUUAGUGGAACUGCGAGUGUAGAGGUGAAAUUCGUAGAUAUUCGCAAGAACACCAGUGGCGAAGGCGGCUAACUGGUCCGGUUCUGACGCUGAGGCGCGAAAGCGUGGGGAGCAAACAGG
rnacentral:rRNA from 1 species